ACUUACAGUACAGAAUAUGUUAAUUGCAAAAAGAAAUUGUUCUUUAAUUCUUAGCCAUUAACAAGGGGUUAGUCAGAGUUGGACUAUUGGCCGCUUCUUUGGUUUCUGUAACUACUGUGACUGAACAGAUUUUUUGGAGGUUGGUUGGCAGGUAAAUGUAAAGAUAAUAACAGCCUGCAGAGUAUGAACAGGGGAGGGCUAAAUAAGAGGGGGAAUGGGGACACCAGCAGCACCUUUCCCUUGGGACACAACUGUAACCCUUUUAGCUCUUCUAAAAUAGCUAAGAUUGCAGCCAUUGUACGGCAUUUUGUAAAAUUCACUGUCUGUGAUGGAUACAGCUGUAUUCUUAAACAGAAAUGACUUUUAGGACUGAAUUUUUGAUGCACUAAGAGAUCAUUUUAUUUAGUUGUCCUAGAGAUAAAUGCUGCACCCCACCACCAAGAGGUGGAACUGGGACUAGAAGCUUGCUCUUCUCAUGCUCAGGCUGAGGUACUGGAGUCGGAAAGAGCAGAGGGGACUUCCAGGAAGAUAUGGUCGUGUACAAAACUUGGGAGAUUACUGGAGGCAAUGAGAUCGUAAUUCAGAGGCUCCCAGGGCUGACAGAAGGAGUUUUAGACAUUGCCCAGCACAUCUCUCAUUUUAUAGAAGAGGAUUUUGAAGUUUGGAUGAGGAAAGUAACCUGCUGGGAAGUCACAAAGGGUUGCAAUGACCCCAGCCCUCUUGGUGUCGUUCUUACCCAGUGCUGUCCCUAACAUAUCACCUCAUUGUCUAAAGUCACUCAAAUAAACAACAGGAAGAUUUGCUGGACCUCCUACCUUCACAUACCACUGCAGGCUCUUCAAUAAAUGGUAUUGGGUAGGGAUGUGACUUGGGAUCGUGAUUCAUUUUGUUUAGGGAUGACUAUUGGUGGCAAAAUGUGUCUUAGGAUCUGAGAUUUGUAUGUGAUAAUUCUUCCUUGGGUUAUCAAGCAGGAAACAUUCAUGGAUGCAAGACAUUCUACCUAAUAUUAUAGACGAGGCUCAGAUGCGGUGGAGGAUCAAGGCUUACCCAGAUUUGAAAAUGUGGCAGAGGCCCUCCCCUCUAGUUUCAAGAAAAAUAUGAUUCCUGUGCUCCAGAAAAGUCAGUACCUUGGAAACUGUGGACAGCUGUUCAUGACUGACAAAUCAUUCCCUACCAGAGUUAAUAUUUACUCCCCUUUGGCUACUGGGACCUUAGGAACCAGGAGACCUCAAGGCUAAUUAUUCACCAAGUUGUGGUGGCUACCGUCUUAGCCCAACAUAAAUUUUAAAAAUGCCUGCUUUGGAUGUCAUUUCCUUUUGAUGUUUGGGGUAAGUGAUGCUUCUGCUUUCACUUUCUUUUGGGGGCUGGGAGUCCUUUAGAAGCAGCAAUGAAAAAAGCAGGGAUUUAUAUUGGGAUUCUGUUUAUAAUUCUUGAAGGAUAUCUAUCCCCAUUCUCAGAUUUGAUCUUCACACCAACCCUGGUGGCCUUCCGAGCACGGAUCCGACAAUCAAAAUGUAAAUAAACAGUUUCAAAAUGGCAAGAACUUUGAAGAAAACCUGUGGUGCUGGGAAGGGCAGGAAGCUUUCCUGAUGCAUCUGUGCAGAGGGGUGAGCAGGAGUGAGCCAGUGAAUGGAGAAGGGAAGAGCAGCCCAGCAAUGAGGACGUUUUUCCAAAAGACCCCAAGAGGGAGUAGUUAUGGCUGAGGAAAUUUUGAGGAACUGGAAGAUCCAUGUAGGUCCAAUGAACUGAUGAGAAACAGUGGGAAAUGAGACUGGAGUGAGUACCUGCCCCAUCCUUGUUGACCGGGAGAGAAAAUUACUGUCCCUAGCUUAAAAGCAGUGGGUGCCAUUAAAAGACACAUGCACACGUAUGU
rnacentral:lncRNA from 1 species